GGAUGAUCCUGCAAAGUUACCCGACACAUUUCCUACAAGAACGUCUUUGUUUGUUGUUGCCCAACUGAUCAAUUUUAAUGCAUGCGGAUAAGUAGGAUUUAUGCGUAUCGUGGAGUUGAAUCUCCUUUGUAAGGAUAAAUCUUCAUAACCAGAGAUUCCAAUGUUCCUUGCAAGGAUUACAGUGAAUUCUUUACGCUUUCCCAUUUGAGAUUUCAAUUCAACUCCUUCUAUUUU
rnacentral:misc_RNA from 1 species